AAUCUCCAAGACACUAACUUUCAUCAAGGGGAAAAGCAGGACACUUACAGUGAAAUUUUCUAAAGGUUAUUUAUUAAAUUCAUAAGUAUUUUUUAAACACCUAUGACAUGAGGGACAUGUGCUAGUUACUAAAUGUUGAAGCGAUGAACAGCAAAUUCCUUCAUAAAGUUUGCAGGAAGCCUUUAAAGGACAGUACAAAAAGAAUAACCACUUGGCAUAAGUGGUAUGCAUGGAAUGACAGCUACCUUGGGCUUUCUGCUGAUUUUACCAGUCUAUCAAAAAAGCCAUCCCAAUCAGUUUGA
rnacentral:lncRNA from 1 species